CGGGACAUAUGUUACAAGUCAAUGCAAUUCCAACUCCCCAUCAGAGACCCAUACAAGAAAGGAGAAGAUUCUUUGCAGGUGGUCACUAGAGGCUUCAAAAAGCUAAUAUUAUAUUUAAGUUACCACUGCACAACUAAAUGCAUUCCCAGUUUCUCUCUGUGCUGCUAACCAAAAGGAUAUAAGUAAACCAUCCAGAUGAAGAAAGCUACCAUAAUCUGCCCAUGGCUUCACCCCCAUACAUUCACAAGUUGACACAAACUUGCAUGUCAUUUGUUGAAAGAGAUGGAGGAAAGAAAAGGAGGAACAACAUGGGAAACUUUUCCUUGUGUUAGCUGGAUUAGGAGGAAUGAAAACCUAGCCUAAGUGUGGUCCACAAGGCUAAAUUUGGAACAUGGAAAAUCCAUCAUAGUCAACUUCAACUAUUCUGUACUCACUGCUGUGCACCUUCUUGAUAUUUGAUAUAAGAAGCAUGAUUGAUUUGGAUCCAAUGUUUAUAUUCUCCAUUCUUUUUUCUUUUUUCUGCAAACAUUUCUGUCAGAAACAAACAGAGAAAAAAAUUCAUUCCUCUGUUUUUUCAUUCCUAAUUUUUCUUUUAUUACCUUUAGAAGUUCUCAACU
rnacentral:misc_RNA from 1 species